GGUUGGAGACGACGUCAUUCUGCCAUGUUAUCUGGAGCCUCCAUUUGAUUUGACCACAUUUACAAUCGUAUGGAGAUUCAAGGAUGAAAUAAUCCAUGUUCAACACAACCAAACUAAAGAUGAUGGAGCUUCAGAUCCAAAGUACAAUAACCGAGCCUUCAUGUUCCCUGAUGAGUUUAAAAAAGGCAACAUUUCCCUCAAAUUGACCAAAGUAACCAAGGAGGAUGAAGGGAAUUAUAUUUGCUUUGUUCCCAACCUGCAAAGUCAAGCCAGGAAGGGAAACGUUACUCUAAUACUUGUUGAAAAUGCAGCGCAACGCGACUCGACUGCUACUAGAGUACCUGAUGCUGGAGUUAUUGUUGGUACUUUUGUUGGUGGGGCUGUUCUAGCAGCACUCAUCAUCAUCAUGAUAUUCUGUGUUGUACGUUGCUGCAGAAGUGAACCAAAUCAUAGAGAAAAUGUCAACCGAGGAAAUGAAGAAGAAGAAGAAGGAAUAUAUUUACGGGACCGAGAACAACCAAACUAAAAAGUUAGAAUCUUCCAGCUGAUCUAAAGUGUCUUAAACCAUUGAUGGUAAGGAGACCAACUUUGACUCCAGAACCAAAGAGACAAGGAAGGAACAUCGUCAUCAUCAUCGUCAUCAUCAUCAUCAUCAUCAUCAUCAUCAUCAUCAUCAUCAUCAUCAUCAUCAUCAUCACUGUGGGACUGAUAGCAGCUCUAAAGUCUCUAAUUCUAAUAUUGAUUAUUUGGUUUAGGAAGAAAAGGAGAAAAAGAAACCAAAAUUUUUGACAAAAAACAUUUUUGUUUGAACUUUUUCUCUUUCACAUAUUAUAUUUUAAUAAUGACUUUGAGUCGUUUAUUGAAUAUCUUCAGAUUCAUGUUUUAAAUCAUUUCUGGUCUAUAACCAGAACAAAGAUCUGCUAUUAUGUUACUCAGAUGAAUUUAUUCCGUUUCACUUCAUGUGUUUGGAGAGACCAGUGGUGACAACAGUAUUAAGAGUUUGUCCUGAAAUUGGCAUGUUGUUGGUUCAAAUCUGCCUCUUUCUUAUGUCCUUGAGCAAGGCACUUCACCUGCCUUACCUACCAGUGGCAUCGACCCGCAGCAACCGCUGCUAAAUUGCUCCAGGGCAGCUGAGGCUGUUAUUGUCACCAUCAGUGUGUGAAUCGUUGUGAAGAAUUUAAAAGUACAAGCCAUAGUUAAUGUUUUAUGAAAAUAGUAAAUUAGAGCUGUAAUUUAUUAUUUAAACAUUAUUGUUAUUUUGUAGCUUAAAGCCUGUGUGGUUUUGCUUUUUCAUCAUUGAUCUCAUAAUUAGUGUGUGUUGGGUCAUUGAUUGUAGAAAAGUUAUAAAUGUACAUAUUGAGGUUUUAUUAGAAAACUGUUAUUUAUUCAAAGUAUCCAAACUUGUUUUGCAUAAGUUUAUAUUUUUGAUUAAAUGUGUUUUUCUUCAUUUUUGUGUAUUUAAUGAGCCUCAGUGAAAUUCUCACUAUUUACUUGUUUCAACUUUAAUGUCUAAUUAUGAGUCAAUCUGCUCUUUAUUUGGGCUGCAGGUCAAAUUUAUGAAACUGGGAAAAUAGUUUUCUUUGUUGUUACUGUUGUAUUUACAUAUUUUACAUGUUGUGUUUACUACUGAUUACAACAGGUAAUCAGUAGUUAUUAUGAUAUUAUGUUGGCUUUGUAUCUAAUAAAGUUCUGCAUUUUAUUUAA